CACCUGACCCCAUGCCGAACUCAGAAG
rnacentral:rRNA from 9 species